rnacentral:rRNA from 1 species
GACGAACGCUGGCGGCGUGCUUAACACAUGCAAGUCGAACGGAAAGGCCCUGCUUUUGUGGGGUGCUCGAGUGGCGAACGGGUGAGUAACACGUGAGUAACCUGCCCUUUACUUUGGGAUAACUUCAGGAAACUGGGGCUAAUACCGGAUAGGAGCUCCUGCUGCAUGGUGGGGGUUGGAAAGUUUCGGCGGUUGGGGAUGGACUCGCGGCUUAUCAGCUUGUUGGUGGGGUAGUGGCUUACCAAGGCUUUGACGGGUAGCCGGCCUGAGAGGGUGACCGGCCACAUUGGGACUGAGAUACGGCCCAGACUCAUACGGGAGGCAGCAGUGGGGAAUAUUGCACAAUGGGCGGAAGCCUGAUGCAGCAACGCCGCGUGCGGGAUGACGGCCUUCGGGUUGUAAACCGCUUUCGCCUGUGACGAAGCGUGAGUGACGGUAAUGUGUAAAGAAGCACCGGCUAACUACGUG